rnacentral:rRNA from 1 species
UACGUAGGGGGCAAGCGUUGUCCGGAAUCAUUGGGCGUAAAGAGCGUGUAGGCGGCCCGAUAAGUCCGCUGUGAAAGUCCAGGGCUCAACCCUGGAAUGCCGGUGGAUACUGUCGGGCUCGAAUCCGGAAGAGGUGAGUGGAAUUCCUGGUGUAGCGGUGAAAUGCGCAGAUAUCAGGAGGAACACCAAUGGCGAAGGCAGCUCACUGGGACGGUAUUGACGCUGAGACGCGAAGGCGUGGGGAGCGAACAGG